rnacentral:rRNA from 2 species
GAUUAGAUCUCAAUCAGGUAGGACUACCCGCUGAACUU